GCUAGAGGUUAUUACUUAGAGGAGAUCUUGAAUUAUUAUAAAUAGUGUCAAAGUGGAUCUACGCAUGACUCACGUAUGACAAGGGGAUAUUGUAGAACAAGCACUUUUGGGACCGAUCACUGACCAAUCUUAUUGUUUGUAAUUGGAUUUGAUUGGUUCUAGAUUUUUAGAAUGGAGAGGAUGAUAGAAUUUAAAGUGGGGAAGCAUAUAGCUCAUGUCUCUUUUUCUUGCAUGGUUGAUCCCAUAUAUUUCAUAGCA
rnacentral:lncRNA from 1 species